GCCGCGAUAGCUCAGCGGUAGAGCAGCGCUUUCGUAAAGCGCAGGUCGUCGGUUCAAUCCCGACUCGCGGCU
rnacentral:tRNA from 1 species